AAAGUGCGAUAACUCAGGUGAAUUGCAACUGGCGCGAAUCCUUGAACUUUUGAACGCAUACUGUGCCCCGGUGUAACAGCUGGGGCGUGUCUGUUUGAGCGUCGAAUACAAAACAUCACUGUUAAAUACCUCGCAAGGGGUCUUUUGACAUGUGUACUUGGAUUCUGUAGUUUAUUCUACAUUAUCUUAAAUACAAUAAUUUGGGUGGGGGUUUCUUAUGUGAAUCGCACUUGUCCUAUAUCAUGGUUAAGGGGAUUAUUCAUUCUCAAGAUAUAUGGUAAAGACUUGUGCAUUUAUGGUUUGCUUUAGUUAUCCUGUUUUAUAUAUCCAAUCUACUGUUCCCUUAAUUUCUAGACCUCAAAUCAGGCACGAUUACCCGCUGAAUUUAA
rnacentral:misc_RNA from 1 species